rnacentral:tRNA from 1 species
AGCUCAGAUGGUAAAGCAUCUGCCUACAAUGCAGGAGAUCCGGGUUCGAUCCCUGG